rnacentral:lncRNA from 1 species
CAAAAUCCCCACAUGUAUGAGGAUCUCGGAGUUAACCAAGUACUUGUGAUUUCUUAAUGUGCUGAGAAGCUGCUGUGACCUGCUGCCUCCUUGCAUUUGUAUCUGAGAGGUGAAAUAGAGGGUGGGAAAGAAAAUCUCUCUGCUGUUGCAAGUAAUCCCUGGAGACUCACUCUUUUUCUCUUUCCUGCCUAGCUGCUAGCUGGCUGUCCUUGCUCUCUGCCCAAAGCUAGAAGCUAAGCUAAAACUCCAGCAUCAGAGAAAGUUUGGAAAAUGCAGCUUCUGUUCUGUCCAGCACAUUUGUGCCUUUCUAUAAAAUUGUAUGCCAGCAGGAUCAGCAAAGGGAAGAGGUCAGAGAAAACCAGUCCCUCCAGAGAUUGUUCACCUUCAAAGUGUUUUCUCUGCCUUCCUUUUUAGACCUGAAACCUCAAAAGAGUGGAUAACUCCCACUCAUUGAACUCAGGUGUUUAUGGGCUAAAAAGAGCAAAACGUUCAAUCAGUCAUUAUUUUUCUUGCCUUGGAAGAGACCACCAGAACUACAGAGCAGUGGGAAGGACAAGAGCCAAACCCUUGUGAGACUUGGGGGACCCCCAGACUGCCCUUGUGCUCUGUACCAGGGGAAAGGAGCUGGAUUCAUUUCCACACGUAUGCUCACAAGCUCUUUGUGGUAAUAAGGUCUCUCUGCAUCACCUGUGGUUGGAUUAAUGCAGCUGAUGCCAGGGGAAACUCCCUGCAGAGCCUUUGUUACCCCAACAGGUCCCUUUCUUCCAGUUGCCUCCAUGCUGCUGAUCCUCCACAGCCUGAUUCUUGCACCAGGGCAUCUCCUGUCCUGCAGAGGAUAUCCAAGGACUGUAGUAUUUAGACACCCUCUGUUGACAUGCAGCCUUGUGCACCUGGUUGGAGCCUUUAAUAACACCAGGAUGAGAUGGAACAGACUCAGAAAUAAAGCACCAGGAGCAGACACCUCAUCUAUCCUUUAUAUGUUGUCACUGAUGCUUGUUUCUGUAUUGACUUUGCUGAGCAUGAAUGCUGUGGAUGACUUGAUGAAGAGGGGCCCAGCAGGACCUACAUGCCAAAGGACAGCACGGUAAAAAGUGAUUGAAGUGUUGCCAGCAACUGCCUCCUAGCAAAGAAAGGAGCAUGUUAUGAAAAGUAAAGUCCAUUUUUUCUCAAGGAAAACACAUGUUCCCACUUGGUAUUAGUUAAGAAGAAAAAUGCUAGGAAAAUAGUAUGGACACAACAUAAACUGCCUCUCUGGAAAUGGGAUCUGCACAGAGGAUCUGUGACCCACCAAGCACUCUUCUGUAGACUUCAGCCAGGUUUAUUUAGCUUGGAAAACCACAUUUUUUUCUGCCAGAAAUCAGACUUUUUUUUCCAGUUCGUCUAUGACAUCUAAUAAAUGAUGCUUUAUUCACA